AGUUUAAAAUGUCCAGACGCUGUAUGAACAGGCUUCCCUGGGUUGUAGUUUGGACAGGUGGGACAAGUAACCUUGUUAAUGUUUCCUCACCAAUACUGAUUCAUGAAGGCUCUCAUUCUGUCACAGACUGAAGGUUUAAUGAAUGCACAGUGGUGAGUGAGAAUUUUAGAGUCUCCAGUAGGACUGGCUUGUUAUUUGGUCAAAACCAGAGCUUUCUCUUUUUAUCAAACCAACAAUUGUUGAAUUUCCAAACUUGUUUUUCCUUUUCUGACGCCAACUGUUGAGUCUUUCUAUAGCCAGUUUAAAAAAAAAAAAAAAAACUAUUAUUGGGGGAAAUAUCCACUUGGACCACAACAGAAGUUUGACUGCUCUUCAUUCCUUCAAGGGCAGCAUUCCUUGCAGAAACAUCACUAAGUGAUUUCCUUGGUUUCCAGAGAGUCAAGUUUAGAACCCCCAGAAUCUUAACAGCUAAAGUGACAGUUAAAAAUAUUAUAUUCAGUAAUUCCUGAACGUAAGGGCCAUUUUAAAUUUUAUUUCCACUGGAAGUAGGGAAGCUACAUUGCUUCCAUAACAUUCCAGAAUCAUGAGCUGCUCCGUGGAUAAAUAUUGCCAGUUUUGUCCUUGCCUAAAGUAUAAGCACAGGCACCAGUGUGCAGUUCAGCCUGCUGGGCUGAAGUAGCCACAGGCAAAGAUGACGCCGCAACAGCAUCACGUUGUAACAGCAUAACAAGCACGUUGCCAUUGUGGACAAAAGGUUCCACUGUCAACUUUUAAAAUUAGACCAUCCAUGAACUAUGAGAAAUCGAUGUUACUGCAUGGAAUUUCUAGUAGACCAUUCUAAGGAGCCAGGAAGCAUUCAGCAUUAGGAAGUCAUGAGGUACUUCGCUGGUGACCGAGGGAAGAGUAGCCAGGUUAAGGGUAUUAUUGUUAUUGUUGUUGUUAUUAUGGUUGUUAUAAAAUAAAAGGGUGAAGAACAGUUAACAAAAGCCCUUCACAGGAGGUGAGGUGACAAGCUGAGGAAUGUUGAGUGUGAUGAGAAUUCAGGAAAGCUGCUACUUCAUGAGAUACAAAAGUGGUCAAAGGGGAUUCCACGAUGGUUUUCUCGAUGGCCUUAGCCAAAAGGGCAGUGACUGUGAGCCUCUAAGACAAGGUCCAGUUGCUGGCUAUAAUACUCUAUGGGUUGAUGGUGGUCCCCAUGUUUUUGAGUGAGCACCCCAAAGGCAGUCCCUUCCUGCUCAUAAAAAAAAAAAAAAAAAGGAAAUGUGAUAAUUGGGAUGCCUGAGGGCAGGUAGGUUCAUCAGACUCUCCUUUAAGGCCUUGAAGACUUUGUAAUCCAGUUCUUCCCAUAAAAGUGGGUCAUUAUUGUGGAGAAUAGCAUAUAGAAGUUUGGCCAUCAGAGAGAAAUAACCAACUAACCCGAGAAACUCUUGCAGUUGGCACUUAGUUUUGGGUUUGGGGAAACUUAGGACAUCAUGAAGUCUAUCUGGAUCUAGGUGUAGCCCUUGUUCUAAUAUCAGAUGUCCCAAAUAUUGAACCUGGAUUUGGGCAAACUGCGAUUUUUCUUUAGCGACCUUCUGUCCCUUUAAGGCUAAAAGCUUUAGUAAGUGAAUCUUUAUUUAGCAAGCUGUUUUCCUCUGAGGAGUCUUGAGAAGGAGUGUAAAGAAGCAAAUCAUUCACUUACUGCAACAAAGUUUAACUUCUAGGGAACUUUCUGUCCUGCAGAUCAGGCUUUGGGAUUUGCAAGAAAUAAAAAAGGACUCUUAGUAAAACCCUGUGGCAUUAGUGUCCAAGUGAAUUGUUUUUCUUCCUAAGUGAAGGGGAAAAGGUAUUGGGCAGCUUCGUCGACUGGAAUACCAAAGAAUGCACCGCACAAACCAGUUACAGUCCUGGGCAAACCUCCUUCAGCCCUUAGGUUUCCUCACCAGUAAAAUGGGAGUGUUACAAGGCUGGUCUGGGGUCUACAUGCUUGUGGUCAGCAGUUUCCAUCUGGUGGGGAUCAGAUCAUUACAAGAUAUUGAAUGUGGUUCGCUGUGCUAUACAGUCUCUCCAGUUCCACUCCCUCCCGAUUCUCAUCUGUGAUCUUUCUUCCUGCAGAAAGACAACACAACACCAGAGAAGUGUGUUCUUUGCCUACUGGCAGAGAAAGGGAUUCUGCUAGCGCAGCUGAGGGGGGGCAAUUAAAAGCAUGUUUUAAAUAUUUCCUUGGUUAAAAGCAUUAAGUUUGAUAAAGACUCUCUCUCUCACUCACUAAACUCUAGAUUUACAUCUGAUAAUACUGGGUAGUGUGAACAAAAAUACUGCAACCAUAUCAGUAAACAAAGAAUGCUGAAACCAAGUCAUCAGCGGCUGCCGCCACCCCCAAGUAAGGACAGGCCUGCAGCCCAGCCUCUGCAGUCACUCACAAAGGUGCACUCUGAGUGGACUCAGAAUAAGCAAGGACAGGAUACUGGCCCUAGAUAGCUAGGUGCUUGUCAAAGGAAUGAAUUCAGUGAGCCCAAAUGUUUGCUUCCUCCUAUACAUAGAAAAGCACUCAAUUCUUUAACUUGAGAUGCCUGGUUUUCUUUAGAUAACAAGCAAUCUUUUAUUGUUCCAACUACCUGGUCUUUGUUGUAAAGCUCCUAUAUAUCCUAGCUCCUCCCCUACCUCUUCGGAGCAGUCCCUCAGAGCAAUCUGAGAGGCUGUCAUCCCGGCUCGAGUCCUCCCGCCAAAUAAAACAUAACUCUUAACUUU